UUUUUUUUCAAGGUGAUACUUAACCUUAAUCUGCUCAUCUUAGCUCUGAAUCCACUCAACUGGUUGAGUGGGGGUUGUGUGUGGGUCGCUAUACUCAAAGUCGGACUAACAUUAGCUUCCAAGCAAAUUACUGUUAUUGAUAAAUCAUAUUGAUAAAUGAGGAGAGAACAUAAGGUGACCAGACGUCCCCGAUUUCCAGGGAUAGUGCCUGUAUCGGAUGACCUGUCCGUGGCUAAAGCUGUCCCCGCAAAUGUCCCUGAUUUAAGCGUUUCAUGGCAGAGAACAAAGAUGUGCAUGUAGAUUGGUUAUCACGGUAGUUGAGUGGGUAUGACGCACAAGUAAGCAUGUUGCGCACAGUCCUGAACAACAGUUUUUACGGUGGGGUUAUUACAGAGGGCAUGCGCUGCUACCAAGUCAUACCGAGAUGUUGUCUGUGAUCACGCAGCCCAUGUCGGAUUUCAUUACAGAAAUCUGGUCACCUUAAGUGAACAGUUUUCUAAUUCCUUUGGCUUUAAAAGCUGAUCUAACAGUGACCCUAACUGUGUUUACUCCAUGAAGAGCUGCCCUGUAAGAGAGCUGAUACUCCCAUAGAUUCACAUAAAACACAGAGAACCAAGACAGCCUGUAGAAAUGGAUCAAGAAUAUUAUCCCCCAUUGAUAACUGUUUCCUCUUGUAGCGGCCUGAAGAUUCAUGUUGUUGUUAUUCGCCAUGAGGCAAUUGAUGAAAUAAUCUCAUUUAGAACAAAUAGGCUAGUAGAUAAUCAAAUAAAGGCUGUGUGCAAUCACUGCAGACCGGGUUCAUCUGCAAAACAAGAGAAAAUACACCUUCAAUAAGUUUCUAUAAAUGUAGCUGCAAAUAAAACAAGUCUGUAAGGAUUAAAUGCAGCUAUUAUUUGAUUAAGUUUACGACCGUUUUCUAUUACACUCCGAUGCACUUUAUUUGUGGAGCAAACAAUAAUGUGACGCACAGUAACAACGGGGGCAGAAAUAAACAAUCUGUAAAAUGUAGAAACACAACAGAGUCAGUGGACUGUCCAGUAAAGCAAUAAAAGCUGGUUCAUGCUGGGUCUAAAGAUGAGACUCAAAGGUAUGCAGGGUCGGGGAAUUUUUAUGUAAGGGGGACUCAAUAACCUCAACUCCUCAAGAGACCCAAUUUAACCCGACAGUCACUUUUUCCUCCCUCUACUUCUCCAUUAUGUACUUACAUGCAGGAGUUACAUCACCAAAGUCAGUUUUAUAAAAUUUAAAUAACAUUAAGAUGGACUGAUUAAGGCGCCUUCAUCAGCAGCUGUCUAUCAUUUUUAAUCCAACUAUCUGUGCUAGCUUUACCGUCUGCGUCGCACCAUGUCGACAUGCUGUUGGUCUCUUAAAGCUGUACCGCGUCAGUUUAAACGAAUGAGAAAGAAACACCUUCAAGGCUAAUUUAGGUUAAAGAUGUGGGGUUGACAAGUUUUAUUAGAGCAAGACUAAUGUUUGACUUUUUAAAGUUUAAUUUGUUCAUGUGAUUUUUAUGCUUCGAACUCAUUAUAAACGCACCGAGCGCACCUCUUUUCUACUCCCAUGAGAAGCUUUAAUGUAUGCUUCAGGCCUGGAAGUCAGCCUGUGAUAAGUGUGCUGCUGAUAUAAGGAAAUAAUUAUCGCAUUAACUUUCACUGUACACCCUGACUGAGGACACUUCAGUGACACUCUGAGGGAAGUUUUAGCUGAGGCAGAGAAAAGGGGAACGAGGGAGGUACAGGGGGGAGGUUUAAUUCAGCAAGUUUGACAAAUUUAGUCUGACAAAGACAUGAUCCUGAACACACACUGAUACUGAAUGAAGAAGAUGUGUGAGCCUCUGGGACAAGAGGUGAGAUGUAGGCAGAGUAAAAGGCCCCGGCUUUUAGUCAGGAGCUGGAGGGUGUCAGACAAACAUUUCACAGCUGAAUCUUUUCUUUUGUUCUGAAAGAAAACUUCAAAAAAGUUGGAUGAGUCUCUUAAAAAGGGAAGAAGUCAGGAAAUACAGAUCUAAAAACUGUACGUUCAACAGUAAUCUAUCCGUAAGUCGGCUGAUUUCAGCAGGAGGAAAGUGGAAGGUGUUCAGAAAUGACAGAAAAUUGGACACAGAUUGUUAUAUUUCAAGCACCAGCUGCAGUAAGCUGGAUAAAGUACUCGCCGGUCCUUCAACCUGUCUUCUGAGUCCACUUUUAAGAGAAAAACCAAGACCAGAGAACAGCCUAAAAACUCCAAAUCCCGUUAAUCUGCUCAUAUCACGCCUUCCAUUGAGCUCACAAAACCCAGAGGACUACUGAACUGUUCAAACUCAGGUCAAACCCCCGAGACUGCAUCCGCAAAUAACAAAUCUAAACCACAGCGAGGGUACAAACCGCAGAGGGAGUUGUUGGAGGCGGAGGUAACAAGCUCCUUCAUUUUGUAUGUGCAUUCAGCUGAACCAUGGCAGAACAACAAGCCCAAAGCAAAAAACAACUUCCCUUUCAAGUUCAAGGUGGAAGUCAAGAGAUCUCUCGUGGCUUUUCUGCACAUCUUUUCAAGCAACACGGAGCUGGAACGGCUGAUUACUUGGUUGUGGGUAAAGAGCAGCAGAAAAACACAAAUUGAUUUGGGUUUUGAGAUGCAACUCGGCUGAAUGAUUAGUUGUAAAUGAAAAGAAUCACUCACGGAUGAACUGCUUCGAGCACUCGAAAAGCACAAGAAUGAAACCUGAAUGAAAGGACUUGUUUAACAAAGUCUGUAUUUGGUUAAACAUUUGAAAAGACUCUUUUGAAUGAAUAUAAUCGUUCCUGGAAACUUUAAUUCAAAAAUGAAGAUAUCUGCCUUUAUAUCCACCCUAUCCUGAGGUUUUUUUUGAUGAUUUAACCUUGUGUUUACUGGUAGUUGAGUCUUUAGAUCACAGUGACUCCCAGGGAAACACUGAGGCUGUAUUUUCAACCCCUGUCAGAGAAAAAGGAGUCUUUAAAAAGAGCCUAUUUUGAUUCACUGAAAUGUGUCACUGUCUCCGAGAGUUCAAAGCCCUGGAAAGUAUUAAUCCAUCACAGGCUUGGCUCCCCAGCCCCCUCUGCUCUGACCUUGGGCCAUAAACAGCAUUACUGAUGUGUUACAGGCGCAGAGACUGAAUAAUUACACGGAGGAGUUGAGGGAAUUUGAUGCACAGCACAACACGCUGGAUGUUGCCAGCAUGGAUGGGGAUAAAUACCGGAUGUCAUUUGAAUCUAGAUACGGCCUACGAAUCUGAUUCAGUGUGGGGUGAAACCGGAGCGUGGGUGUGAAUAUGAUGAGUCUGGAGAGAAGAAUGAUAGAAGCUGGAGACUCCAUGCAAAUCACACUGAAGAGAAAACGCUGAUCUAGAGUGUUGUGUGGCCCGAAAAACUGCUUUAUAAUGGAAAAUGAACCUGGUCGUAGACAUUUGGUUUAGCUUAUAAACCAAGAAAACCCCAGUUUCACCAAUUAAGCAUGCUGCAGCUUUAAGAAAGUAUACAUGCAUAACUAUAAUUAACGUGCUGAAUGUUUAGCCAGAGGUUUAGUCCCUAAACCUGCUUUGUGACUGAGAUUGUUGUCAUUUACUCUAAAAACUAAACAAAUAAAAACAAAAAGAGAAUUUUCCUCCUUUUAAACCAUACAGAUUAAAGUAAAUGAUCUAAAACUGGCCUCAGCACCCCUUGAAUCAAUGAAACUGUCUUGAUGGUGUCUAAUUGCCAAAGUUGUUGCUACGACUGAACUUCUAAAGAUGCAGCUGACUGGAAAAACUUGACUCUGUGCUGCCUCUACAUUUUGAUGAAAUGGUAAUUUGUCCUGUCUUGAUUGUCAUUCACUUUAUUGAUCCAAAUAGAAGACUUUUUUCAUGAAGGUACAUCUGAAAAAGUGUAACUGACUUAUAUUUAGGGUCUCCACUCACAACCACAUUACCAGGGGGAUGAAAGACGGAGAAACACAGUGAUAGUCCAGCUAUUGAUAGCAUGCUGAUAGGUUGGUUAAAAGAAAUAGAUAGUUUGAUAUCAGAUCCUCCUCUCAAGUAAGUGCAUCUCUAAGUUAUCGAAUGCUAUGAAGAUAAAGACAUGAGUUGUAAUAAAGCCAACCGUGUUGAAAGUUUUCAGGACUUUCUGUUGGGAUUUCUAAACCCUCUUUCUUCCUGUUUCUCUGCAUUAUCUGUCACAGAAACUAUUUUCGUGUUUAAAGCCCCGGUGAGGAUUUUAUUAAUACAUUAUAAAAGAGCCUGAAAUGAACAACGAUCUCUGUGUGAUAUGAAAGCAAAUGACAUCAGUGAUGAAAUGGAUAAUUUCCUGAUCGUAAAUUUUAAUGAUUCUAGCUUGUGUAAGAGGAGAGUCACGCAAAAGAAAAAGCACCUGUAACUUUUCCCACAGCAAAAAUUCACUCUAGUAAAUUUCUCCCUAAAAAAAGUUUUUUUGGGUCAAUUAACACUUUGUCACAUGGAUGAGACUAAAUCAGCUGUGAUUUGAGGGUUACCACUUUGUCCACAGGGGGCACUAAAGUCAACACUGACAGAAAGUUCCAUACUAGAGCUUUAAUUUACCAUAACAUCCAGACUGUAAAUAAAAGCGCAUUUCUGUAUUUUUCUAAACAUGAAUCCUGUAAAGAGGGGCUGUCCUGGUGUAUAUUCGAACCAGGAUGUUACUAUUCAACAACAUCCGGAUGGCCUGUACUCCUCUUGUAAGGUAAGUAUAUUAGCAUGGCUGCUAAUCUUGACAUUUAACUGAAUCCAUAUUGCUGCUGAGCUCUUUGCAAAUGUGCUUCUUUGAGUCAAUAAGUUAAAUAACCAUUAAGAGACUUAGUAAGUAUAACUUCUGCUGUUGUCGUGUACCAUAGCCUAAAUAAACCAGGCGCACAGUGUGGUUGAAUUUCUUUCUGUAAAUACAUUUAACCUCGUUUCAACAUCAUCAGAGUUUCAGAGCACGGCAGAGAAAAGCUGUACUUUCCUCCCUUUGAUUCCUGAAUUAAUCAGUUUUUCCUUUUUUCUACAUGCUGUUGUGAAUGUGCACCACUCCUGCUAGUUUCGCAAUCAAAAACAGAGUCCUGUGUUUCUGUGUGUGUGCGCUGGUGAGCGAGGAAACCUUCAAUCGCAGUGUUUCUGCAUACAUAUUGAUGCGACCUUCUUCUGCGUGCACAGGGUGAAGGAGCGGCAACAGUUCGGAUCUGUCUGACGGUAAAAAUGAAACCGUAUUCUUCAGUUCCACCUUGCUCCUGCAGCUGUGCCUCAUGUCUGAACAAAUGAACCCGAAAAACUCACCCAGACUUAUAUAAAUAUAACAGUUAUCCUCUGACAUCUGCUGCACUGAUACCACAGCUUCACAAGAAUAAGAAGAGACAUAAUAAACAAACAUAAACUUAAUGAUAUGAUCAUAAAUAGAUAUGCAUCUAAAAGUCGACAGAACUGACAUUUUUGAUCACUAGAAGUAGUUUACCGCCCUCACUUAAAGGCGAUCAAAACCAAUUUUAAGAAAUGUUAACUUCUUCUGAGAGAAUCUUAUACUUAAUUGUAAAAAGUUUAUAACUUACACCAAUUUUUGACCCAAUUUGACCCAAAAUCUGACUUCAAAGAGCCUCUAUGAUUACAUAUGCUGAUUCCUGGCAGACUGAGUUUCCAGUGAUUUUACCUUGAAGUGAUCAAAGUGAUCUUGAAUUUCUGUCUUAAUAUGCCAUGCAUACGCUGAAGUGUAAUUCCAGGACACAUAGACCACCUUUUAAGCGAGUCAGAUACAUUUAAUGUGGACGUAUUUAAUAAAAAUGUACAAAAUCAAAGCAGCUUUUAAAAAAACAAUUGAAGAUCAUGUGAAAAUCUCGGAGUGAAAGAGGCGCCUCACAGUAAAUCACGAGUAAAUCUUUGUUUAGCCUUCCAGCCAAUGAAUCCACUUAGUUUGUUCACUCUCACAGCUCUAAUGGUGUUGUUUUCAGCUCAACAACGCAGCUGUUUUCAGCAAAGAAGGUUUUGAUAUUCAGCCUGGAAACUAGAGAACCUGAAAGCUCAUGUUUUAUGUGCUUUGAAGACGUGUCUUGUCCCGGUCCUGCUCAGACGGAUUUCCGGGCAAACCUGAUUCAGGUUUAUGAUCACAACUAUUCAUCUCAGAAAUUAGGCUGCUUCAGAAAAGUAGUUCAUGUUACAUCUUUCGCAUCUCAUUCAAAGUAUCUCUGUCAGAGAAGAGCACAUCUUUUGGCUUUUGGUGGAGCAUAAUUUAUACAGCUUUGACUAAUUUUGUGAGCUGGAUUUCAGCACAUUAUUUCCUAUUAGAUCAUGAAAUGUGGGGGUAAGGAAAACGCUGAGUGAUGGAGGAGAUCUGGGCGAGAAGAAAACACAUUUUGGUCUAGGAUAGGGUGACCAUAUUCUGACUUCCCAAAAAGAGGACAUGACUACUCGGGGGCGGAGUCACUGAGUCACACAAAGUUAAUUUUGAGAGUUUUUUGGGUCGGAUCGAGGGUCUUUUACGCGCUUCUAACUCAGUAAAUCCACGUGACACAAAUUCACUAAUAAAUUGAUAUUUAGUGGAUCUUAUAAACUUCCUGGACAAAGCCAGACAAACCAGGACAGCCCCCCAAAAAGAGGACAUGUCCGGGUAAAAGAGGACGUUUGGUCACCCUAGUCUAAGAUGCAAAAGUGUAACCUCUUCUGGAUGAAUACGGUGUCAUUUAUUACAACAGCAAGUUAAAAAAUGAUGAGAAAUUAGCUUUACUUGCUCAACUUUUAAGGUUGUAAGUUGUAAAUGACUCAAUCACAGGAAAUCAAUCACAAAAAUGCUCAAAUUUCCCGCCCAUUUGGAGGAUAUUCUGCGACUGUUGUGUUUCUACAUUUGGCAGACAUGCUACAAAGUUUGGAAUUUUGCAGGUUUAAUCAUGUUUAGUCUUUACAAAUAUGCUCCAUUCCUGAAGAUAAAGUUAGCAUCUGAAAGUCCUGUUGUGGUUUCAUUGGAUCACAGAUAGACCGAGAAACUUUUGGCUUGGUUCUGAUGCAGGUUUUUUUCUUGAGCACUCGCCCUGUUUGUUUGGUGAUUUUUCUGCCUCCGCAUCCAUCUGCACCAGUCUGUAUCCUCCCUCUACAGACAUGUUCCAGGCAGCCAAUCAGUGCAGGGUAUCAUUAUCAUUUUCACAGCACUACGCUGUAGAUCCUCUGCAGAUGCUGAAUUUCUUAGAUUUUUAGUUAAAGAAUUCAAAAUCUUGCCUUAAAAAAGGUAUCUGCAAAAUGUGAAAAUACCAGCAAAACCUCUUUAUCAAUUCUGAGCUCUGCCAAACAAUGAGGACUGGACCUGAGAGCAAAGCCAUGAGCUCCAUAGGAGGAUGUUUGAAGCACUCUAUUUUGUGUAUCAGCAGUAUAUUGUUUGUCUAAAUAAUAAAGUCUCUCCCUGGAUGUUUUAUUCCCUGUUACUCAUGAGGGUUUAAAUACAAUGUCUCUCAUGUAAAGAGUCACAGCAUGGGUGGACUCACACUGGGAACAAAAAACUAUUUCAUCCUCGUCUGGAUUUUGAAUUUUGUUUUAUGGUUUUAUUUCAUAUUUUCAGCCAAUGUGCUCUUCCUAUUUUGCUCUCUGCAGGGGAUGUUUUUCUGAAUACAACCACAGCCUGCUGAAAUUUAAUAGGAAACUUUGAGGUCUCCUCAUUCUUAGUCUAAGUUGAUAGGAUACAAUAAGAAAAGAUACAAAAGGGUUCAGUAAGGUCGGAUAUGAACUAAUAAGACAGGAUUCAAUGCGACACAGUGUGAUGUGAUAUGAUAUGAUAUGAAACCACAUGAUUCGUUAUGACCGUAGACUGUAUAUAGAAUGGUUGUUGUCUGCCUCCUCACUGGGUGAAGCCUCUGCAAGAACAGCACCCUCUGGUGACGGGCUGCAGUAUAGGUCAUAAGUCCCGCCUCCUCCAGCAAAUUUAAUGGCGAUGUGGACAAGCUUUAGAAAUUAAGAAUAUACAUUUUUCUGAUGUUGACAUGUAGUUUCUGUAAGACUGGUUUGUGCUCAAGUCCUCUUUUUUUCUGUGCAGCUCCAAUUUUAAAAGUUAUCAGGGGGUUCAUGUUUUCUAUGAUUGACACGUGAUACAGCCUAUGGGUGUACGAAGAUUGCAGAGCGUCAUCACAGUGACUCUCCUGCUGAAUUUGUACAAUGAUACCGGGCAAGUGGUGGUUCCAGGAAGUGGAGAAAAUCCCGGAAGUAACAAGAGCAAUUUGGCUUCAAAUUCGUACAAUGACGGAAGGCGGAGCCAAGUUGUCCAUAGUAUAUACAGUCUAUGGAUACAACAAUAUCAAAUCAUUUGAUAUGAUACAAUAUGAUACAAUGUAAUACAACAUAAUAUAUACUAAGCUACAAUAAGAUACAAUCAGUGUUGCUAACCUAGCGACUUUAUUCAGCGACUUAUUUUAAAAAAAGCACCUAUCAACAAAUCUAGCAACUUUUUGCGCAGUUUGGAGACGAUGACAUGAAAGCGGGUAAUCGAUUUUGGGUAGCAGGUGGGCACCGAAAUUACACACACACACACACACACACACACACACACACACACACACACACACACACACACACAUACAGACACCCUAAGGAAGACCCCUCUUAAAAACUAUGCAAAUUAGGCGAUGGCGUCAUCUAGCGACCUCUAGGACAGCCACUAGUGACUUUCCUUACUGAGGAGUUGAACACUUGAUAUAAUACGACACAACAAUACAUGAUACAAUAUGAUAUAAGAAAUGAUUUGGUACGAUAUAAUAUGUAUGACGUGUUGCAAAACUGUUUACUUAGAUAAAUAUGAUAUGAAAUGAAAUGAUAUGAUACAAUAUGGACAAUUAUAUAUCAUAUUAUAUCCUUUUUCAUGAUUCAGUAUUAUGUAACAAGGUAUGAUACCCUUGUAAAACCAUCUUGAGUCAAGUCCUGCACAUGCUCAGAUGCAUUCACAAACUAUUGAACCACCAUCAAUAACAAUAACCUCCAUGCAAACAGAACACAUGCCAAGGAGACCACAAGCAAACAGGCAGCGUACUAUAUUGCACGUUACCCAUACUGAAGAAGAGGAGAGCAUAAAUAUGAGAAAGAUAGAGGCUGAAGAGAUACCACCAAGACGCUCGUGCACACGCCCCAAAGCCUAAUCACACACAAACAACCAAGCUGUUCCUCAUCCAGUUUCCAUCAUCUGUCAGGACACCUGGAGGAAAGGAAGGUGAGGCUGAGGUCCUGCUGACAUCCUGUGAAAUUAACUGAAGCAUUAAAUGUUUUGAAGGAUGAACUCCGACUGUUAGCAUGCAAAGUAUCAAUAAAACAUGAGGUGUUACAGACUUUGUGUCCACCCAGAUGGAUUUUAUUCAUGGAGCUUCUUUUGCAUAAUGCUGCUGAAGAUGUAAUCAGUGAAGCAGCAACGCCAAAUGAUCUAUGUGUGUACUCUUAUCUGAUCAGUGGAGGGGUGAAUGCUCAGCGGCGGCGGGGAUGAGAUGCGGCGAUGUUCCCUAAUUAAUAGUCUACAGUAUGAGGUUGCUGCGGUGUCAAAAACCCUAGAAACUUCUCCUCCGACCUCAGCCCUGAAAAACUCCCUCCACACACUCAUCUGCCGUGGAUGGUGAUAAGGGACCAUGGUGAUGUUGAAAAAUGUUCAAGAGAACUUAAUUUAUUAUCAAACCUUGAAGCCCCAAGGUGGCUUCACUGUGAUAAUUGAUGUGUAUCUAGAGGAAGAUGAAAUCCCCUUGUGGAGCCAUGGAGAGGAGACUGUGGAGGGUAAUCUUAAAACCCUCCUCCUCAUAUCCAGAGUACCCUCCAGGAGUCGAAUACUGAUGCAUAUCCUAAAUAUGAAGACAUCAAAUCGCAGCAGAGUUAAAUAGAGUCGAGCUGCUUGGUGACGCCAUGAAACAUAUAUUCAAACUCUUUCACUAAAUAAUGGCAUUUAUAAGAUCCAUCAAGUCACUCUGUUAAAAGAUAAAAGUUGAUUAAAUAUGUCAGCAGAUUUUAAAGUCUGUGGUUGUUCCCCAUAGUAGAAGAAGUUAGUCGAAACAGGCAGUAAGUUCAAACAAGCUCUGCCAAGUCCCUCUUAUAAAUCACAGAAAACAAGUCUGUCAAAAUCCAGCUGGGAAGACACGUUCACUAAUCCUUUGGGGAUUUUAUGUGGCAGGUAGUUGUGCAGAUCAUGUCACAGAUCUACAAAGUUAAAAGUUGUUUAUCUUGUUACGCACACAUUAGGACUCAGCCUUCAUGGCCAGACUGAACUAAAUUGAGUCUAUCUAGCCCACGUCAUUAGUCUUUCCUGCACCGCCAUUGUCGCUCUACCUUGGCUAGCAUCUAGUAAACACCAUAAUGAUAUUUCAAAUGGGAAACAAAGGAUCAUGGGAUAUGUUGAGCUGUACAGGAUGCACUUAAUUACAACCUUAGGGAUAGGUAAAGUACUGGAUGAUCCUUUGAAAUAAGAGUCUCGUAUAGUGUGUAUAAUAGCUAGCCUACUGCUUAGUCAUUAAGUUAGCAUUGUGGCAUUGUGGGGGUAAAUGUUGGUCUACCAUCAGGGGAGCCCUGGGUCUGAAAGCUUGUGUAUUUUAUUUUAUUUUUUCUGGGAAAUUAUGGUUUUCAUGUUGUUCAGGGAAAAUAGUGAACAGACAAAAAAAUGUAUCUGUUUGUGUUUUUGAUUUUAAAUUGUUUUAAUCUCUCCUUUUUACAUUUUUUAUGUAUUUCCUUGCAUCUGUAAAGCCCUUUAAAUUGCCUUGUGUAUGAAUGGUACUAUACAAAUAAACUUGCCUUGUUGUUGCACACUGAAAAUUAAAACAAAGGGGUCAUUAGCCAUUAGUUUUAAAGUCUCUGGAGCAACUUUUGGAGGUCGAAAAAUAAUACAAUUGCAGACUUUUGCAUUUGUGUUUGAAAUCUUUGGCUCGUACAAAUUACUUGAACUGGAAAAGUUGCAUGAUUCGUGCAAGCUGCAUGUUUACCUUCCUAGUCUCUACGUAAAUACUUGUAUCAAGUACCUAAACAGAGUAAGUGUAUUAUCCACCGGGCCUCUUUUGAACCAGCACAGAAGUAAGUCAUCGACCCAUGAAGACGAGGCAGAUUUCCUCCCUGAACCAGCUCUAAAUUUUGCUCCCAUCUUUUAUACUUACAUAUUUAAUGCAGCUCAAAUGUCAACUUCAAAAUGUGACUUUUUCUGUCGUGAUUACAGCCACACUGCAGAUACAUUUCCCCGAACAUUUGUGAAGGAUACAAACUGACAGCGGAGGCCUGCACUGUCAUUUAAAAUCAGGUGGGUGGCUGUGCUGUCUCUGCUUAUGGCUCUGCAGUCUCAUCAGAUUACUAAUCAGAGAGAAGGCCGCUGGUAAUUAUCCAUCCCACCUCCACAAUGCAGCAGGAAACAGCAGCUCGCUCCACCCGCCCCCCACUCUCUCUUACAGCCAAUGUUUGAUGUGCCUGAAGAAGCAUUAAACAGCCCUCUUCAUUCAGGUGAGGGCCCUUUUAUUCAUAACACUUGACACCAGCUUUGAGUGAGCACUGAGUUAAAUUCAAUUAUCACACCGGUGAGCCGGAGGACGAUUUUACCCACACGUUACAUUAGAGACAAGCAAGAAACCCUAAUGGUAUUUAGCCAAUUUUAAAUCAUGUAAGCAUGCAGCGAUGCUGAUACAACCUGAUUAUUCAGAAGUGACAGCAGAUUUGGAGAAAGCUCAGAGGGAUUGUGAAAUAAUCUGCAUGUAGAUUGAGGGACUGUGAACCCUCAGGAUUGGCCUGUUAGAGCGAUCACAUGGAAAUGAACUUUAAACAUUGAAAUCGCCGCAUAUGGACAAUUAAAGGGAGCAAUGGCCUGCACUGAAUGCUCAGAGGUCCCCUUUUCAAACUUCAAAGAACUAAUCCUAAAGCCCCUCUUCAUUUGAAGUAGACAGGGAUUAAUUUGUAGAUGGAUUAUCAGAUGAAAAGUCCCCGGGAGUCCCAAAGCAGCAGACUCAGACUCCCUGUGUUAUUAACUUUCAACCCACUACUUCAUUUCUGUGCCACUCAAGCAGCUUUUUCACUAUAGAAAACAAGAAAACAGCUAUAUAUAUUCUGUACUCCACAAUUCCCAAAGCACUGUAACAGGUCAUAAACUGUGUGUUUUUUAUAAAGAGGAACAAACUGAACUGAACUAAAGUUAAAUGGAGACUUGCCUCAAUGCGGCCCAGCUAACUCAGUGUCAACAAGCAAGAACCUCUUUAAAGGUUUUACUUCUUUUUGUUCACCAGAAAUCUGCCAAUAAGAAACCUAUCAGAUCUGAAACGUAAACAUCCUACCUUGAUAUCUUCAUUUUCUUACGCAGCUCUGACACGGUGCAAAACUGUUCAAUUAGAUGAAUAUUACUGGGCUUUUCUAGUACCUUUAAAAAAGUCGCUUGAGGCAGAGGAUAGGUUGGUCUAAGUUUUCUGGAGCUUUAAUAACAGAAAAAACGCUUCCAUAGUUGCCAAUGAUUUACAUGCGUAUAUCGGAUAUAAUAUGUGUACAAUUUGCGACACGUAUCAUUGCAAAAAAGAACAUGAAGCCCAGUCAACAAAGAAUACGGCUACCUAGGCUCACCUCUCCACCCCAGUGCAGGUGAGACCACCCCUUAUAUAAACUACCGGCUUUCAAACACAGUGCCCACGUGACCCAAACCCAGCAAAACCAACAGCAACCAGACUAAAGUAAACAGCUAUAUUCUGUACUCCACAAUUCCCAAAGCACUGUAACAGGUCACAAACUGUGUUAUUUUGUCAAGAGGAACAAACUGAACUAAACAAAAGUUAAAUGUAGAUUUGCCUCAAUGCGGGCCAACGAAGUCAGUGUCAACAAGCAACAAUCUCUUUUUGGUUUUCCUGCUUUUUGUUCACCAGAAAUCUACCAAAAAAGGAACUUAUCAGAUCUGAAACAUGUAAACAUCCUACCUUGAUAUCUUCAUUUUGGUCCAGAUGAAGAGGUCCACCUUAAGAACAGCUCCAGUUCCUCAAAGUAGAGAUGACUUAGUGAGCAGAGUACAGGUGGGAAUCUGGGGGACAGACAUAGUUAUUUUAACAUGUUUCUUACCCUGUUUAUAUCUUCAGUGAUCAGAAUUUGUCAAGCAAAUUAUGAGACGACUUUUGACGUGUAGCCAAAAUGACAAAUCAUGUCAUUCAGUCAACUGAAAAGGGUUUUUAAAAGAAGAUAUUGACUGCUUACUUUGCAGCUAACUAACCAAGACAGACAGACUUAACUGGAGGAUUUAGCAGCUGACAAAAAAAAGUCUGAAAAAGGUAAACUUACUUAUUAAAGUCCGACAAAACUCCAACUUGAAACAAAACCACAAAACCAGCAGCAACUUAAAAACUGAGAGGCAACGCAAGGAGACAGAAACAAGCAACAGGUGAGACACAAGACUUGGGUGAAACUAGAGAUCCAAAAUGGAGGGAAAAAACAGGAAGUACUCUUCACUAGACAUACAAGAACUAACUCCUACAAAAUAAAACAGGAAACACAAAAAAUGAUCUCAUCUUUAGUUAACUCGAUGGAUCAGAUCCCCAAACUUUAAUUUUCUUGUGUUGGUCUCGCUGCUCCCAUGUGUUCUUCAGCAAGUCUUCACUGACUUAUUACAGGAUUCAGGUUUUAAUGGAACUGAUUCACAAGUAUACGCUUUCAUGCUCCAUAGGACAGAGUCAGAAAAAAACGCAUCUUAAUUCUGCUCUUCUGCUCAGACUCUCGUGUCGUCACCUCAGAUUUUUAAUCAUGAUUAGAUUUAUCGCACGGAUCACAGACGAGGAAAAGCAAUGUGAGGGUUCAAAAAUCCAGAGAAAUACAAUAUGUCUGUUUAAUUAAGUGUGAUAAUACCCAGAGUUCAAAAAGACCCAAAGAAUGGGAUUUGAAGCACCUGUGAGUGUUAUUGAGGGAAAUGAAUCACAAGAGUUAAUGAUUUCUUCAAUUUCAAUCACAAUGAAGGUUAUCAGACCUGAAGCUUAUUCCCUGCAGGCGACACCUCAAAAUAAUUAGAUGUCAUAUCACUCCGUACAAAAACUCCACUUCAGGCCUGUCUUCUACAAACUGGAGAGCUCUUUUAACCUCAACCUGAAGAAAAUGAUUGCACUCUUCCUAUCUCCUGCUGCACUUACAUGAUCGGUGUGUUCGCUGGUUUGUCUACAAAAACCUAAAUUCUCAGUUUUAUUCAAAUAACUCAGAGAGACAGAAUUAUCAGGUAGAAGUUGAGCUCUCCAGAAGAACUCCAGAUCUCUGCAAACUAAUGAAAUUUUUGCAUUUUUUUUAAUGAUUUGUUUUAAUCUCAUCUGAAUGCAUGUCCUCUGAAGGGAUUUACAGAAGAAGAAUCUAAGAUGCAAAUAAACAUGACAUCAUUUAAAAGCAGGCGUAAAUCAAGAGAUGUCUUUUUGACCUUCGACUUUUGCAAAUUAGGAAUUUUCCAAGUCAUCAAAAAUGACUUUGAAAUUUGCAUCCUGAAUGUUUCAGUUUGAGUCAUUAAGUCAGCUGCUUUUAUCUCCACUCCGCAGACAGAAGCUUAUUAAUACCCAUCAAUAACACCAUGUAGUGCACAAAAACAACGCUCCCAUAAAAGUUUAGGCAGAACAACAAUCUGCGAUGUAAAUUUAUGUUAAUUUAAUUUGCUCUGGAGAGGGAAAGUGUUGCUGUGUUUCAGCUUCAUUUAACAGAGAAACAAAAGACCUCAGCUGCCUCUUAACACAUUUAUUCAUCACAUUUUCUGCUGCAAAAAAACUCCUUUUUUUCCCCCCCUCUAUAACACGAUUGAACUUACGAGGGAUCCAUAAAAGCUGAUGUAACGGCCAUCAAAACAAAUUGAAGGAGAGCAAAACAAAUCCAGGCUGUUUACCUUCGCUUAAAAAGUUUCAAUGUUGGACUGAAACUGUGGAUUUAAAUGUGAUUUAACAUUGCGGAUGGUUGAUUUUACUAAGCGGUCCUAAGCUCUGCAGUUAGUAUGACCUGCUUUCAUCCAGAAGCAGAGUAUUAAAUUAAACCCUCUCUGGUAGAAGUGAUAGUUGUAUGUAUGAAAGGCACAGAGCUAUAAAACUGUGUUUUCAUCUUUCGACAUACAAUCAGUUUGCCUCAUGCUCACUUGUCUCAAUUCAACUUCAUUUAUAGAGCACUUUAAAAACAACCAAAGCUGACACAAAGUGCUGUACAUAAUAACAUAAAAACAUAAAACAACAAUAAAUAGUUGUUUUAAAAUAUAAUAAAAAGCAAUAAAACAAAUGCCGUCUCAUACUGGGUCAAAAGAGUAAAAGUGGGGUUUUAGACGGGUUUGGUAUGUGACACAAAAGGUCAACUGGGAAACAAUAAGAAGGAGCUGAAAGGAGGUGUUCUGCAAACUACUGCAGCAGAGACGGAUGAUAUUUACAAACAUCUAUUCUGGCCUGGUGCUUGUAAAUCCAAACGAAGAGAGUAAUCCAGUUAAAUCUCUGAACUGAGCUUUAACUUAUUAGUGUUUCCAACAUGGCGAAAGCUGCUGAUAGCAGGGUAUCCAUGGGGUCUUACAAAGUCUUAAAACAUCUAAAAUCCAAUCGUUUGAAUUUAGGGUCUUAAAAUGUCAAAAAAAAAUUAAAAUCUCAUAAAAGGGCUUAAAUAAGGUUUUGACAGGUCUUAAAGAUUGAUUUGAAGUAAUGUGAAAUGUCCUGAUUUCCCUUCACGUCUUUCGUACUUUUUUGCCAGAUUAAAAAUGGUUUUAACUUGUAUUCAUUACGGUCUUUCAAAGGUUUUAAAGUGUCUUUAAUUUGACUUGUUGAAACCUGCAGAAACCCUGUGAUAGGCUUUAAAGCUCUGCUCCACAAACUAAUGGGUGACGUCACCAACACUACAUCCACUCAUUCUACAGUCAGUGGACUGAACUGUGUAUGUGAACAUACUGACUGUGUGUAACUGGUUCAAGUGUGUAUAUUUUAACAUUAAUUUUAAUCACAUGGAAUUCCUGGAAACUGUGUAAAAAUACUCUAGAGGACCUCAAAACAUUGUUUUAUACCAAUCAGCUCCUACUUCCUGUGUGUCUUCUUCUGUGGUAUUUUGUUUGGUUUGACCCCACCCCUCUACCCUGUUUUUGUUUACCCCGAUAGGAGAGGUUUGUGUUUAUUAAUUGCCUUAGCAAUUAUCUUUAUCCAUCCUUUUAUUGAACCAACUCAUUCAUCUGUAUUUCUGCUCCAUGUAGUGUUUUCAUGUCUUGAACUAAAACUUAAUUCACUGAUCCAAUAAAUAUGCUAACUGACGUGCACAGUUAUGCUAACUCUGUGCUGCGUUUUGUCUGUUAUUUGUCGAGGAGUUUGAGCAGGCUGCUGAGUUUUAUUGGCGGUUCUGUCUCUCUGUGUCUCUGCCAGUGCCUGAAUAAACGGAUGAGGAGUGAGAGUCCCUGUGUCGCAGCAUCACGCUCCAAAACAACAAAACACAACGCAGGAACCCAUGUGCUAACACUGAACCCACGAGCAAAGCAAACAUGGUUUUUGCAAAUGAAUGACAAGGAAAAGGAAGUUCUGGAUUAGAAACAUCGUCAGAUUUUGCUGUUUCUAAAUGUAAAUUUUUGGUCUCAUGUAAUUUGAUCUGGCGUUUACACCAAUUUUAGCAUUACUAGCAUGAUAUCACAGCAGUGGGACCAAAAGACACAUGGAGGUCAAGCCUCUGUUACAAACAAAGUGUACAUAUGGCUGUUAAAGUGGAAACAAAAAGGAUGCACACUCUCUCUCUUUAUUUCCAGAUCUGAUCAGCAGUUUUAUUCUAAUCUGAUUCGAGGCAGUCAUGUAAACCCUCCUAAUGACUCAUACUUUUGAAGCGUCUGUCUCCUUGCUCUUUAAGUUUGUCCUCCAGUGUUUGAAGCAGUUACUUUGAAAUAGUGACAGUUUGAGACAGAAAUUAUUCAGUCUGGUUUUGCAGAUUUCUCCAAAGUUGUCAACAGUUUAACCUUUAACUUGCCGGCUGGGAAUGAAAAAGAAGAGCGCUCCUCAUUAUGAACCUUAGUUAUAAUAAUUGUCAUGUGUGCAGAGAUCCUCUGCACCGAACAGUCAUUGCUCUGGUGAUUUUGCUCUACAUUUCCUGUCAAUCAUACGUCUCCCAGGUUGCAGCGUUUCCUUCCUCAGGAUUUCAUCGCCUGGCUUUGUUGUUCUCCGUUCAUUAUCAUUCACGGUGACAAUCAUUGCUCCUGUUAACUACCCAAGAAAUAUUACAUGCACCGCUUUAUUCGCACCACAGGGAUUUUCAGAGAGAGAGCUGCCAGGCAGCAGGUGUUUAGAAAUGCAAAUGUAAAUGCCUCUAUCAAGCGUGUAAAGAGUGUGUGGUGUUUUUCCCUGUUAAGGAGUAUCAAAAGAGACAUUUGUUUGUAUAAAAAUGUUGCACAGUGUUGCAUGAACCAUAAAAUCAUCGUGUAGAUGGAGAAGUAUGAGAGAGGCACAAUACAAAUGCCUGAACUGGGCAAUAAUGAGGUAAAAUCAUUGAUCCUGACACCACACUGAGGAAGGAGAAAGCAUUUUCAGUCUUCAUUAAAAAAAGGCAGAGACAGGGGAGAAUUUAUAUUCAAUAUUAAUAUUUGGUUGGCUGUGUUUUAUUUUAUUUCAUCAUUCCUCUGAGUUGUCAGCUUCUCCACAUUCCUCUUUAUUCCCUGUUCUGAUUAUCCUCUAGUCUACUUAUCAAGCAAACACAGAUUAGCGCUUCGGCAGAAACACAUUAAACGUCUGGAGGAAGUGACAGUCGCGGUUUUAUUGUGCAUCCCGCUCCGAGCUUCAUUGUUGAAAGCUACUUUGAAAGUUUCUCUGACGGCUGCUCACCGCGGGAGGCGCAGGAGUCAAAGUUUUUUCAGAUGUCUCAGCCUCACUGUAAAGCUUUUCACAUGAUAUAGAAACAGAAAAACACAGCGAGUGACAAAAGCUUUGCCUCAUUCAAAGACGAAAUCUUGAAGUCAAGUUUUUGGGUUGACUUUAUUUUGUGUAAAUAUGUACAGCAGGUGUUUAAAUGAUGUGCAGUCAGUUGGGAUGGAUUUUACUCGAUACUGGGAAAAGUGCUUUGGCUGAUGAGUCGAAAUCAAACCUCCGCUCAGUUCGUCCAGUCUUCACACAGACUCAUUUCAUGGCUGUAACAUCUUGAAUUUCUCUGAAGGUUUUAUUGUCCCAUUAAAAAAAGUGUUCUUUGAUGAAUAAACAUGACGUCCAAAAGUCGAGUGUAACUGCAACAAA